GAUGAAGAACGUAGCGAAAUGCGAUAAGUAAUGUGAAUUGCAGAAUUCAGUGAAUCAUCGAAUCUUUGAACGCACAUUGCGCCCGCCAGUAUUCUGGCGGGCAUGCCUGUUCGAGCGUCAUUACAACCCUCAGACCCCCGGGCCUGGCGUUGGGGAUCGGCGGAAGCCCCCUGCGGGCACAACGCCGUCCCCCAAAUACAGUGGCGGUCCCGCCGCAGCUUCCAUUGCGUAGUAGCUAACACCUCGCAACUGGAGAGCGGCGCGGCCACGCCGUAAAACACCCAACUUCUGAAUGUUGACCUCGAAUCAGGUAGGAAUACCCGCUGAACUUAAGCAUAUCAAUAAGCGGAGGA
rnacentral:misc_RNA from 1 species